rnacentral:rRNA from 1 species
GAGCGGCGGACGGGUGAGUAACGCGUGGGUAACCUACCCUGUACACACGGAUAACAUACCGAAAGGUAUGCUAAUACGGGAUAAUAUAUUUGAGAGGCAUCUCUUAAAUAUCAAAGGUGAGCCAGUACAGGAUGGACCCGCGUCUGAUUAGCUAGUUGGUAAGGUAACGGCUUACCAAGGCGACGAUCAGUAGCCGACCUGAGAGGGUGAUCGGCCACAUUGGAACUGAGACACGGUCCAAACUCCUACGGGAGGCAGCAGUGGGGAAUAUUGCACAAUGGGCGAAAGCCUGAUGCAGCAACGCCGCGUGAGUGAUGAAGGCCUUCGGGUCGUAAAACUCUGUCCUCAAGGAAGAUAAUGACGGUACUUGAGGAGGAAGCCCCGGCUAACUACGUGCCAGCAGCCGCGGUAAUACGUAGGGGGCUAGCGUUAUCCGGAUUUACUGGGCGUAAAGGGUGCGUAGGCGGUCUUUCAAGUCAGGAGUGAAAGGCUACGGCUCAACCGUAGUAAGCUCUUGAAACUGGGAGACUUGAGUGCAGGAGAGGAGAGUGGAAUUCCUAGUGUAGCGGUGAAAUGCGUAGAUAUUAGGAGGAACACCAGUUGCGAAGGCGGCUCUCUGGACUGUAACUGACGCUGAGGCACGAAAGCGUGGGGAGCAAACAGGAUUAGAUACCCUGGUAGUCCACGCUGUAAACGAUGAGUACUAGGUGUCGGGGGUUACCCCCUUCGGUGCCGCAGCUAACGCAUUAAGUAC